CCAAACCAAACUAAAAAAACAUGAUCCUUCAUAUAAUUUAAUAUUUUAAAAAUAUCUUAAUGAAUGUGCUAACAGUUCUCAACCCUUAACAUUGCUGUUAAUAAUACCAUAAAUUUGUAUGAUGUGUUUUAAGCUUUAAAACACUUUCAAAUCCGUUAUCUCAUUUGAUCCUUGCAAUAAUCCUAUGAAGCAGGGCAAAUAAUAAUAUGCCAAUUUUACAGCUAAUAAUAGGCUCAGAGAACUUAUGUAAUUUCCCCAAGUUUGCAAUUAGCCAGCACAAAGCCAGGAACAGAACCUAAGUUUCUCAAUGCUCUGCCCAUUAAUUCCCAAAUGUCAACCCACAAGGCAAUGCUCACCCAUUACAAAUUAAAAACAAGGAUCGUGUAAGUAGUAUCAAAGCAAAUAAUUUCAACACUUGUUUUUUCUUAUCCCCAAAUCCCCCCAGUACAUAGUUGCAUAUUGUAUUUGUGAGUGCCGCUGGUUGUGCCAUGUGGGACGCCACCUCAGCAUGGCCUGAUGAACAGUGCCACGUCCACACCCAGGAUCUGAACCAGUGAAAGCCUGGGCUGCCAAAGAGGAGCGCGCAAACUUAACCACUCCGCCACGGGGCUGGCCCCGUAAUUUCAACACCUUUAUUGAGAUUGUAAUUUUACUGCUUUUUGGGAUUUAAAAUGCUCUUUGUUAGACUUCUUAUCACUGUGAUGGACUAAGUUGAUAUGGGAAGCACCCAUCAUUCCUAACACAGAUAAAUGUUCCAUAAAAUACAACAAAAACAUUUGAAAUAUACAACUAAGCACUAAAGAAAUUGAAAUCCUCAGGUGCCAGAAAUGAAGAGAACACUAAAACGUGGUGAGCAAGAGGUGAGGCUAAAUAGGCAACUGGAGAAGUAGAAUCAGAAAUUGGACUUAGGCAUGGGAGCUGGAAUGGGAGCUGAGACCCCAUGUGCCUCAGUCGAGUUGGAACUGAGCAUAGAGCCGGGAUCCUAGAAGACCUUUGCUGCUGUGAAAAUCUAGAUUCUAGAAUAUCUCCUCCCAUUAGCCUGAGAAUUAGGGGAGAAAGCAGACUGAUUACCACCCAGAUGACAUAGCUCCCAAACUGAGCUGCACAUAGGAGCGUGGGCCAAAUGGGCAUUCAUGAAUAGUGUGGGAAACCCAAACCAAGGUAGCACAGAAAAACUGGCUUGAACCAUGGAAACCUGAAGGACAAAUACAAAAGUGUCCCAUAGUAACAGUUUACAAUCCUGGAUACAUGAGACACCAUGAAAAGAAAUACCCAGGAUGACAUGGGGAAAAAAAAAAUCUAUCUAUCUAUCUAUCUAUCUGUCUAUCUGUCUAUCUUCCAGGGGAGGAAGUUAGCAGAAUUCAUAACCCAAGAAUUACAGACAAUAGAGCAAAGAGACUAUAAAGAUUCCACGCCUCAGAAUCUGAAUUGGACAGGAACCCAAAUAAGUUGUUGGAAACACACAAAUCUAAACUCAAAUUGUCAUACUUCAACAUCUGCUUUUGAGGGCAGAGAGCACGUGCUGUACUUUUGUUUAAGCUUCACGUAGCAGGAAUUCAGUUCAUGAGUGGACACGUGAACCAUUGAAGCAACAAAGGGAUGAACAACUCUGGAUUCGGGCCACGCACAAGUUCUGCAGUGCUCAGUGCCUCAUCUAGACUUCCACAAGGAGAGUACAUUGAUUCAGCUGAAAAACAG
ensembl:lncRNA